GUGAACGCUGGCGGUAGGCCUAACACAUGCCAGUCGAACGGCAGCACAGUAAGAGCUUGCUCUUACGGGUGGCGAGUGGCGGACGGGUGAGGAAUACAUCGGAAUCUACUUUUUCGUGGGGGAUAACGUAGGGAAACUUACGCUAAUACCGCAUACGACCUACGGGUGAAAGCAGGGGAUCUUCGGACCUUGCGCGAUUGAAUGAGCCGAUGUCGGAUUAGCUAGUUGGCGGGGUAAAGGCCCACCAAGGCGACGAUCCGUAGCUGGUCUGAGAGGAUGAUCAGCCACACUGGAACUGAGACACGGUCCAGACUCCUACGGGAGGCAGCAGUGGGGAAUAUUGGACAAUGGGCGCAAGCCUGAUCCAGCCAUACCGCGUGGGUGAAGAAGGCCUUCGGGUUGUAAAGCCCUUUUGUUGGGGAAGAAAAGCAGCAGGUUAAUACCCCGCUGUUCUGACGGUACCCAAAGAAUAAGCACCGGCUAACUUCGUG
rnacentral:rRNA from 1 species